UACGUAGGGCACAAGCGUUGUUCGGAAUUACUGGGCGUAAAGCGCGUGUAGCCGGCCAGGUAAGUCGGAUGUGAAAGCCCGGGGCCCAACCCCGGAACUGCACCGGAUAAUGCCUGGCUGGAGUCCCGGAGAGGAUGGCGGAAUUUCCGGUGUAGAGGUGAAAUUCGUAGAUAUCGGAAGGAACACCAGUGGCGAAGGCGGCCAUCUGGACGGUGACUGACGCUGGGACACGAAAGCGUGGGGAGCAAUCAGG
rnacentral:rRNA from 1 species